GCUGGGGGUGGUCCAGCCCUCGAUACCCACCAGCCUGGGGAUUUGGAGAUCCAGGAGAGCCGGUUCCUCAGUCAGCAAGAUUGGGGCCCACAGCGGACCUCAGAGGAGAUGAAGCGUUUGCAGAAUGUUUGCGUGAGGCUUCGGAAGGCACUGAGCAACACCCAAGCAGACAAUCUGGCCCUGGGAGAGAAGCUGCGAAACCUGCCCAGCUACCUGUAUGAGAAGCUGAAGGAGGAAAUGCAGGCUGGCAGGAGGAAGUGAAGGACACUCAGGAGGAAGCCCUG